AACGAACGCUGGCGGCAUGCCUAACACAUGCAAGUCGAACGAGACCUUCGGGUCUAGUGGCGCACGGGUGCGUAACGCGUGGGAACCUGCCUUUAGGUUCGGAAUAACUCAGAGAAAUUUGAGCUAAUACCGGAUAAUGUCUUCGGACCAAAGAUUUAUCGCCUUUAGAUGGGCCCGCGUUGGAUUAGCUAGUUGGUGGGGUAAAGGCCUACCAAGGCGACGAUCCAUAGCUGGUCUGAGAGGAUGAUCAGCCACACUGGGACUGAGACACGGCCCAGACUCCUACGGGAGGCAGCAGUGGGGAAUAUUGGACAAUGGGCGAAAGCCUGAUCCAGCAAUGCCGCGUGAGUGAUGAAGGCCUUCGGGUUGUAACUAGCUUUGUUACGGAACGAAACGGUGAGCUCUAAUAACAGUUUGCUAAU
rnacentral:rRNA from 1 species